rnacentral:rRNA from 1 species
UACGAAGGGGGCUAGCGUUGCUCGAAAUCACUGGGCGUAAAGCGCACGUAGGCGGAUUGCUAAGUCAGGGGUGAAAUCCUGGAGCCCAACUCCAGAACUGCCUUUGAUACUGAAGAUCUUGAGUUCGGGAGAGGUGAGUGGAACUGCGAGUGUAGAGGUGAAAUUCGUAGAUAUUCGCAAGAACACCAGUGGCGAAGGCGGCUCACUGGCCCGAUACUGACGCUGAGGCACGAAAGCGUGGGGAGCAAACAGG